GGGGCCGUAGCUCAAUUGGUAGAGCACCUGCUUUGCAAGCAGGGGGUCAGGAGUUCGAUCCUCCUCGGCUCCA
rnacentral:tRNA from 2 species